rnacentral:misc_RNA from 1 species
GAAAUGCGAUAAGUAAUGUGAAUUGCAGAAUUCAGUGAACCAUCGAACCUUUGAACGCACAUUGCGCCCGCCAGCACUCUGGCGGGCAUGCCUGUUCGAGCGUCAUUUCAACCCUCAGAACCCCUUGCGGGAUCUGGCGUUGGGGAUUGGCAUCCAGCCAGCCCCGAAAUCUAGUGGCGGUCCCUCCGCGACCUCCCCUGUGCAGUAGCGAUACCUCGCAGCGGGACAGCGGUCUGACCACGCCGUAAAACCCCCAACUUCUCAAGGUUGACCUCGAAUCAGGUAGGAAUACCCGCUGAACUUAAGC